rnacentral:pre_miRNA from 1 species
UAUCUACUCCCUCCGUCCAGAAAUACUUGUCGAAAAAAUGCAUAAAAAUGAAUGUAUCUAGAACUAAAAUACAUCUAGAUACAUUCAUUCCUCCGACGAGUAUUUCCGGACAGAGGGAGUACUAA